GACGAACGCUGGCGGCGUGCUUAACACAUGCAAGUGGAACGGAAAGGCCCUGCUUUUGUGGGGUGCUCGAGUGGCGAACGGGUGAGUAACACGUGAGUAACCUGCCCUUGACUUUGGGAUAACUUCAGGAAACUGGGGCUAAUACCGGAUAGGAGCUCCUGCUGCAUGGUGGGGGUUAGAAAGUUUCGGCGGUUGGGGAUGGACUCGCGGCUUAUCAGCUUGUUGGUGGGGUAGUGGCUUACCAAGGCUUUGACGGGUAGCCGGCCUGAGAGGGUGACCGGCCACAUUGGGACUGAGAUACGGCCCAGACUCCUACGGGAGGCAGCAGUGGGGAAUAUUGCACAAUGGGCGGAAGCCUGAUGCAGCAACGCCGCGUGCGGGAUGACGGCCUUCGGGUUGUAAACCGCUUUCGCCUGUGACGAAGCGUGAGUGACGGUAAUGGGUAAAGAAGCACCGGCUAACUACGUG
rnacentral:rRNA from 1 species